rnacentral:rRNA from 1 species
UACGUAGGUGGCAAGCGUUGUCCGGAUUUAUUGGGCGUAAAGCGCGCGCAGGCGGUUCGUUAAGUUCGAGGUGAAAUCUCCCGGCUCAACUGGGAGGGGUCUUCGGAUACUGGCGGACUUGAGGAGAGCAGAGGUGAGUGGAAUUCUGGGUGUAGUGGUGAAAUGCGUAGAUAUCUGGAGGAACACCGGUGGCGAAGGCGGCAUCCUGGACCAAUAUUGACGCUGAGGAGCGAAAGCUAGGGGAGCAAACGGG